UACGUAGGGGGCAAGCGUUGUCCGGAAUCAUUGGGCGUAAAGAGCGCGUAGGCGGCCCAGUAAGUCCGCUCUGAAAGUCAGGGGCUCAACCCCUGAAUGCGGGUGGAUACUGCUGGGCUAGAGUCCGGAAGAGGCGAGUGGAAUUCCUGGUGUAGCGGUGAAAUGCGCAGAUAUCAGGAGGAACACCGAUGGCGAAGGCAGGUCUCUGGGCCACUACUGACGCUGAGAAGCGAAAGCAUGGGGAGCGAACAGG
rnacentral:rRNA from 1 species